rnacentral:rRNA from 1 species
CGGAGAGCUUGCUCUCUGGUGGCGAGUGGCGAACGGGUGAGUAAUAUAUCGGAACGUGUCCAAUAAUGGGGGAUAACGAGUCGAAAGAUUCGCUAAUACCGCAUACGCCCUACGGGGGAAAGCAGGGGAUCGUAAGACCUUGCGUUAAUGGAGCGGCCGAUAUCUGAUUAGCUUGUUGGUGAGGUAAAGGCUCACCAAGGCGACGAUCAGUAGCUGGUUUGAGAGAACGACCAGCCACACUGGAACUGAGACACGGUCCAGACUCCUACGGGAGGCAGCAGUGGGGAAUUUUGGACAAUGGGGGCAACCCUGAUCCAGCCAUUCCGCGUGAGUGAAGAAGGCCUUCGGGUUGUAAAGCUCUUUCGCAAGGGAAGAAAACUUAUGAUCGAAUAAAUCAUGAGGUUGACGGUACCUUGAUAAGAAGCACCGGCUAACUACGUGCCAGCAGCCGCGGUAAUACGUAGGGUGCGAGCGUUAAUCGGAAUUACUGGGCGUAAAGCGUGCGCAGGCGGUUUUGUAAGUCGGAUGUGAAAUCCCCGGGCUCAACCUGGGAACUGCGUUCGAAACUGCAAGGCUAGAGUGUGUCAGAGGGGGGUAGAAUUCCACGUGUAGCAGUGAAAUGCGUAGAGAUGUGGAGGAAUACCAAUGGCGAAGGCAGCCCCCUGGGAUAACACUGACGCUCAUGCACGAAAGCGUGGGGAGCAAACAGGAUUAGAUACCCUGGUAGUCCACGCCCUAAACGAUGUCAACUAGUUGUUG